rnacentral:rRNA from 1 species
UGCAGUCGAGCGGAUGACGGGAGCUUGCUCCUUGAUUCAGCGGCGGACGGGUGAGUAAUACCUAGGAAUCUGCCUGGUAGUGGGGGACAACGUUUCGAAAGGAACGCUAAUACCGCAUACGUCCUACGGGAGAAAGCAGGGGACCUUCGGGCCUUGCGCUAUCAGAUGAGCCUAGGUCGGAUUAGCUAGUUGGUGAGGUAAUGGCUCACCAAGGCGACGAUCCGUAACUGGUCUGAGAGGAUGAUCAGUCACACUGGAACUGAGACACGGUCCAGACUCCUACGGGAGGCAGCAGUGGGGAAUAUUGGACAAUGGGCGAAAGCCUGAUCCAGCCAUGCCGCGUGUGUGAAGAAGGUCUUCGGAUUGUAAAGCACUUUAAGUUGGGAGGAAGGGCAUUAACCUAAUACGUUAGUGUUUUGACGUUACCGACAGAAUAAGCACCGGCUAACUCUGUGCCAGCAGCCGCGGUAAUACAGAGGGUGCAAGCGUUAAUCGGAAUUACUGGGCGUAAAGCGCGCGUAGGUGGUUCGUUAAGUUGGAUGUGAAAUCCCCGGGCUCAACCUGGGAACUGCAUCCAAACUGGCGAGCUAGAGUAGGGCAGAGGGUGGUGGAAUUUCCUGUGUAGCGGUGAAAUGCGUAGAUAUAGGAAGGAACACCAGUGGCGAAGCGACCACCUGGGCUCAUACUGAC